rnacentral:misc_RNA from 1 species
CUGAGAGAUUUUUGCUCCGGGCCUCUCUGAGAUCUGAUAUAUUUGAAUACUAAUUUUCCUCCCUGGCCCCUUUUUUCCCCCUCCUCUCUGUGGCCUAUUUGUAUAGUGGUUAAUUUCUUGUAUAUUGUUGUUGAUUGUUGAGUUGAGUUGUUGAAUGUUGAUGGUUAAUUUCCUCGCUCUAUUUUCUUAUUUUUUUAAUUUUUUUGUUUUGUUGAUUAUUGAAUUGUUUAGUAUAACCUAGUUGCUGUUGAUUUGUUAUUGGUUGAAUUACUGUGACAAAGUGUAACCUGAGGGAGGGAAUAUCAAAACUGAUGAACCGAACUGAAAAUUUUAAGUUUGUUUUGAUUUGAUUUUCUGUAUACUUCAGUUGGGUUUGGUUCACAUAAUUUUUAAAGUUCGGUUUGAUUCAGCUCAUUUUGGAACUGACUGAUUACCUACAUGUUCUGAAUAUGCCACAGGUUCCUGCUGGUUCGCGUGUGACUUAAAUCUGCAGUUUGUUUUAGAUCUUAGAUUUGUUAAUAUUUGUUGAUUAGUUGGUGCAUUCUGAUGAUAUUAAUGCCUAUCUCCCCUAAUAAAAUUCGCUCAUUAUAUGUGCUAAAAUUUAAAAAUAAACAGAAAAAAGGCCCUUCUUUGGUAACAUUUUUGCGUAUUUUGAGAUUAUUUAUUAGAUUUCCUCUCUUGUUCUGCAGGU